rnacentral:rRNA from 1 species
UACGUAGGGUGCAAGCGUUGUCCGGAAUUAUUGGGCGUAAAGAGCUCGUAGGCGGUUCGUCACGUCGGCUGUGAAAACCUGAGGCUCAACCUCAGGCCUGCAGUCGAUACGGGCGGACUUGAGUACUGCAGGGGAGGACUGGAAUUCCUGGUGUAGCGGUGAAAUGCGCAGAUAUCAGGAGGAACACCGGCUGGCGAAGGCGGGUCUCUGGGCAGUAACUGACGCUGAGGAGCGAAAGCGUGGGGAGCGAACAGG